rnacentral:lncRNA from 1 species
CCGAAUCCAAGCCCCGGGACGAUGAACAUUAUGGUGAAUGGUAUGGCGGCCAAGGUGAGCUUCCACGAGAGGGAGAAGGCGAAGACGAAGCAGAAGAAGAAGGAUGACAUGUAGGCCAGGCAGUCAGGUAUCUGCAUAGGAGUGUCAUUUUGUUAGUAAGAAAUUAAUUAUCAUAAAAAUCCUUUGUUUCUUUCUAGUUAGACCUUUUCUCCAAUGGUGAUUUGGAUUGUGUUGGAGUCUGCAGAUAUUGUGGUGACGACUUGGAAAGUGGUGGAUGAGUCAGGUGCUUGGGAGUCGAAGAAGCCUACGUCUUGCUUCAGCACAGAUUUCAGAUACUCUAAUCUCAUCCGAGAACUCUGCCUCUCUGCUGU